UACGGGGGGUCCUAGCGUUGUUCGGAAUCACUGGGCGUAAAGCGUUUGUAGGUGGCUUUGUAAGUCGGAUGUGAAAUCCCUCGGCUCAACUGAGGAAGUGCAUCCGAAACUGGCAGGCUUGAGUACUAAAGAGGGUCGCGGAAUUCCCGGUGUAGAGGUGAAAUUGCGUAGAUAUCGGGAGGAACACCAGUGGCGAAGGCGACUACCUG
rnacentral:rRNA from 1 species